AUUGAACGCUGGCGGCAGGCUUAACACAUGCAAGUCGAACGGAACCUUCGGGUUUAGUGGCGAACGGGUGAGUAAUACCUAGGAAUCUGCCUAUUAGUGGGGGAUAACGGCUCGAAAGGGUCGCUAAUACCGCAUACGUCCUACGGGAGAAAGAGGGGGAUCUUCGGACCUCUUGCUAAUAGAUGAGCCUAGGCCGGAUUAGCUAGUUGGUAGGGUAAAGGCCUACCAAGGCGACGAUCCGUAGCUGGUCUGAGAGGAUGAUCAGCCACACUGGAACUGAGACACGGUCCAGACUCCUACGGGAGGCAGCAGUGGGGAAUAUUGGACAAUGGGGGCAACCCUGAUCCAGCCAUGCCGCGUGUGUGAAGAAGGCCUUCGGGUUGUAAAGUACGACUUUAAGUACGAGGAGGAA
rnacentral:rRNA from 1 species